AGAGAAUAGAUACCCCGGUAGUCCACGCCGUAAACGAUGGAUACUUGUUGUUGGAGGUAUUGACCCCUUCAGUGACGAAAGCUAAACGCGUUAAGUAUCCCGCCUGGGAAGUACGGUCGCAAGAUUAAAACUCAAAGAAAUUGACGGGGGCCCGCACAAGCGGUGGAGCAUGUGGUUCAAUUCGAUGCAACGCGAAGAACCUUACCUGGGUUUGACAUGUACUGGAAGGUUACCAGAAAUGGUGCCGCCUUCGGGCCGGUACACAGGUGCUGCAUGGCUGUCGUCAGCUCGUGUCGUGAGAUGUUGGGUUAAGUCCCGCAACGAGCGCAACCCUUGCGAAUAGUUGCCAGCAUUUAGUUGGGCACUCUAUUCGGACUGCCGACGUUAAGUCGGAGGAAGGUGGGGAUGACGUCAAGUCCUCAUGGCCUUUAUAUCCAGGGCUACACACGUGCUACAAUGGACGGCACAAAGGGCAGCUUAGUCGUGAGACGAAGCAAAUCCCAUAAAACCGUUCUAAGUUCGGAUUGGAGUCUGCAACUCGACUCC
rnacentral:rRNA from 1 species